rnacentral:snRNA from 1 species
AUACCUUUCUCGGCCUUUUGGCUAAGAUCAAGUGUAGUAUAUGUUCUUAUCAGUUUAAUUUCUGAUAUGUGACUCAUUGAGUCACACGAUAUUAAAUUUAUUUUUUGAGGGGGAGAGUCCAUCACAAUAGCUUGCUAUUGGGUUUCUUGUGUGUCGCUUUUGUGUUGCAUCAUAGCAAUUGUCUGGCGCACCCCAC